CUAAAGAUAGAUUUGAUUUUCAUUGUACAACUAAACCUUUUGAGAACAUGAUUUAAACUGGUUAAUGCAAAUGAAUAUUAUUGAUUGGUGAUAAUCAACAUGCUAUUCGGAUCUGCUUUGACCUCUCUAUAGGUCAGUUUUCUUUUCUGUGACUACAUUUGAUGAAGUCCCAGCCACGGCCCACCGUCUAUCAGGGAGUUUCCAGCUGGGUUCGUGUGAGGUUUCCAGAGGCCUUUAUUAUCCCCAUGCCUUCAUCAAGGCAUGGGGGCAAUAAAGGCAAAUAGUCUUAAGACCUGUCUUUAUUGCUGGUUCAAUCUUUGGCCAUACAGCUUGUCACACCAUGGUCAAACUGACAUGGGAUUUGUUAUCCUACAAGCAAAUUGACAUGCUUAAGUUUUUGCUACCAUAAUGUGUUAGUAUCCUUAGAUAACACCAUAUUCUUGUUUCUAAAACAGUUCAGUUAAUUCAUCUCAAUUUUUGUUUGUUUUGAGUCAUAUGUUACAGUUAAAAAACAUUUCUCUGAUGUCUGUCAAUGUAAAGGGUCUGAGAGACAUGACUUUUUUUUUUUUUUUUUUUUUUUUUUUUGCAAGAAACGCAUUCCAAGAUAGAUGAUAUCACUUUUACUACAAACAAUGUGGAUGCGACGUUUAUUUCAGCCAUGGUAAUUCAAGAUCAGCAGGGGUCGCCAUCCUACUAAAAAUUUUUACUUUUUUAAUGGUCACUGAAUAAUAAUCAUACUAACCCUUGAUGAUUUCAAAUUCAUUUUAAUCAGUAUUUAUGGUUACGGGAGCACUGGAAAUAAAAACCUAUUACAACAAAUUGGCUUACAAUUAGAUAACAUGAAAUCAACAUACUCUGAUAACGUUAUAGGUGGUGAUCUUAACUUAGUCCAUGAUGAAUUUUAUAAUUUUCCUACGAGAUUUUCAGAAGUCAGAAGUCAUCCGAACAACACUUUUAUAAACUUCUACAAUGACCAAAGCUUAACAGACGCUUGGAGACAUUUAAAUCUAGCAAUAUUUAGGGGUUUAGCUUUUCCCGUGCACAUAUCCCAGCUGGCGUUCUGGGACCAAACCACGAGUGAGAGUGAGGGUGUGUAGAAGGGACACACAUUGUCCAAGCCUUUGCGAGUAUCGCUUCUCGGCCUUUUGGCUAAGACUGCCAUCGCCUCCUCUGGGUUGUGAAAGUGAUUAUCUCUGUGACAUAACUUUACUCCAACGUUUGGGAGGGCAUUGUUGCUCUUCUUUGUCUUUUUAAGGGUUUCAACAAGCCCUUGCGGACAAAGUGGUUAAUUUCCUUUGCUAUUUGUUUCUCCAUCAGGUAAGUUUUGCGCUAAUAGUAUUUUAGCUGGUUUUAGCACCUCAAGCUGGUGGUGCCUCGAAAACAUGUCAGCCAGCUAUGCCGGCACACAGAGGCACCACAGUGUCCGUUUCUCUUUAAAGGAGGUUGAUGGAAAGCACCCGUGGAUGUCGAGGCUUGACUUCUCACGGAAGCUCAUCCAGAAAACUCUGAAGUUUACCCUGGACGACCUCAACUGUGUUCUGACCUUACCCUUUAACAAGGGCUUUGACCUCCUUCCUCUCUACGUUUGACGUUUAACAACAUACCUGCAAUGGACGAGGAGCUGGACAUAAUCCCUGCAACGGCACUCGUUUCAGCAUUCUUGUGCUUGGAACACUCAUUUGGAUACAGCGAGAGAUAAGGCCCGAGAAUGCACUGUUGGUGUGCUGACAGUUAUCAGUAAAGAUAGUCCUUAUGAGUGUCCAAGUUCAGUAGACCUCCAGCCCAUCUCCACUUCCAUCAUUCUGGAGCAAGAGACGGUGAAUAAUAUCUCCUUUCACCGCGUCCACCGGCUCGGAGCCUGAGGAGGAAACCGUCCGCGUCCCAUCAUUGCAAAAUUUGAACAUUUUGAACAGAAGAUACUUGUGAAGAGCAAAGGAUGCGAACUCAAAGGCACCACUUUCGGAAUUAACGACCAGUUCCCGAAAGAAAUCAACGAGAGGCGUAAAGUGCUGUACCCGAUUCUCAAGGAUCACCGGCAGAGAGGAAAGAGGGCCGCACUUACAGUGGACAAACUUUACAUCGACGGUCAGCUGUUCCGGGAUGCAAACAUCACCCCCUGGCUCUACUGACGGAUAAGUAUUAAGAAAA